CGGGUGGAAGGGGCAAGGAGGCGGGGGCGGCGGCGGCGGCCACCUGGCCCGGACCACCGCGGCCCGGAGGGCCGUGAACAAAGUGGUGUACGAUGACCACGGGAGCUAGGAGGAAGAGGACGGCGACGUCGAGGAGACCCAGGAUUCUGAGGACGACGAGGAGGAUGAGAUGGAAGAGGACGACGAUGACUCCGAUUAUCCGGAGGAGAUGGAAGACGACGACGACGACGCCAGUUACUGCACGGAAAGCAGCUUCAGGAGCCAUAGUACCUACAGCAGCACUCCAGGGUCUCUUUCACCCUGUCAUCCAGGUUGGGG
rnacentral:lncRNA from 1 species